AGACCUUUGUGGAGUCUUUCCUGUGGGCCUAGAUCUUCAGAGACAGGCUCUGGGGUGAUGCCAUGAAGCCCAUCUCUGUGACACAAGAAGAGGUCUUUGAAACCAAGUGGAAGAUCCAGAAAGACUCUCAGUUGAGCUCUCCAUCUGGCCAUAGGCACACAGAAGUGAGCCAUACAUCCAGCCAACAUAGCCUGUCCCCUAGCCAAAGCAUAGGCUUCCUCAAUGUCCUGCGGAAAGCCUUGCAUCUCCCAGUGCUGUGCGGAAGGCAGUGGAGUGAUGCUCUGAUUUGUACCUCACCACAGGAAAGAAACCACAAGGCUGGUCUCAGGUCUCCCCAGAGCCUUCUCUUCUCCGUGCUGCCCAGACCCAGCUUUCAGCCUGUCCUCGUAAGAGAGGUGUUCUAUCUCUUGGGUCCCUCCUCUGGAUGUGCUCCAACAGGUCUGUCUCUGUACUGAGGACACCACAUCUGGACAUGGUGCUCCAGGACAGUAAGAAGCAGUCUGACUCACCCUGGGAUAUUGGUACAGUCUCUCAUAACUUUUAGCUAAUGAAAGCAUCAAGUUGCAUUAAAGCCUGCCUUGCUCCUGCUUGGCUCAGGUUUUGGAGGAGCUGAGAACCAGACCAGGCUUAUAUGAGGUGUAAUUCAUCAAGGAGAGAAACUCAGAGAAGCAUCAUGAUGCCAGAAGGAACAAAAUAAAGGCUGGGUUGUGGCAGCAUGGCCUGAGCUGAUCCUCCUGAUAUUGCACUUCAGAGAUGUUUUCCUAAAAGAAAAUGUUUUGAG
ensembl:lncRNA